rnacentral:rRNA from 1 species
GUCUACGGCCAUACCACCCUGAACGCGCCCGAUCUCAUCUGAUCUCGGAAACUUAAAGUAUAAACUGUGUGAGAACAAGAGUCAAGAACUUGUUGAAAGUUGAAAAUGCCCAUGGAAUAGGUAAGCUGUAAUCA